UUGGCUAUCCCAAAGUGCAAGGGAAUGAUGGGUUUUCGAGACCCGCAUCUUUUCAAUCUGGCCAUGUUGGGCAAACACGGCUGGCGUAUUAUUACCAAUCCAAACUCACUGUGUGCUAGAGUUCUAAAGGGUCGGUAUUUUCCUGAUACUGACUUCAUGCGUGCUACAAUCCCCAAAUCUGCAUCGGCCACUUGGAGGGCAAUAGUAGCAGGA
rnacentral:rRNA from 1 species